UGUGGUUCACUCAUGGAAUUGUGGAACUGUUUGCAAGAUGCAUUCUUUGAAUCCGCCAUGCUCCACACCCCACAAUGUCACAGAGAACAAGUGGUGAGACCAUGUGAAUUGACACAUGUUGGCCUGACAACCAGGCCAAACACCAAACAACGUCUGAAAUGCAAAGAGUAGAUUUAUUUAGUUAGCUUACUAACAAUUCUGGGGGACAGAGGGGUGCAGUCUGGGACUUUAUGAUCUCUCCCAACAGGAGGCUCAAGCAUGUCUGUGAGAGUGUGUUAUCUCUACACAGGAAUUCUAAUUCUCAAAAUAGGCAGAGGAUAAAUAACACUAGGCAUAAUAAAUGGAGUUACCCACACUGAUAAUCUUAGCAUUCCCAGUUGCAAGGUCACUUUGAGCAGAACUAUUGCCUACCCUUGCCAAAUCUUCUGGCUUUGACCCUUUCCUGCCAACAGAUAUUAUUACAUGCUUUACUAUUCUUAACACUAUUUGAAAGAAUCAUUAAGAUUUUCUUCAUGACAGGAGAAGUGUCUGGGAGUAUCUGUGAAUCUCCCAAAUACUCACCCAAUCUCAUGCAGCUGCUGUGAUGGGAUCUCUCUUAGGAAACUUAUUGCAUGGCAGAGGCAGUAGCUCAUGAAAGUUCUGGCAGUUUCUCAGUCUUUUGAUAUCAAAACCCUUGCACUUCACCUCCUUCCUUAUUAUUCCUUAACCACUGUUCUGGGAUCAAAGACUGUUAGAGAGAGAUUUAUGCAUUUAAGCAUAUCUAAUUUCCAGUGCUUGCCAAGGACACUGUGGUCAGUACAGGCAGUGGUGAUAUAGACAGUACAACCAAUGGAGUCCAGAAUUCACUAUUGGUCAGUUUUUCUCAGCAGCAAGCAAGGAUGUCCUUUAGGGAAGUCCUAGCCACAAGUAUUCUAACCUCCAUGGACUGUAGAUUGCUGUUGAUGGUAUUGGGAGCGGCCCAGAUCCUGAUUCGUAGACAUGAUGUAAUUAGGAGCUGAAACCCACAGCUACUGAAUUAAUAUGUGAGCACCUUAUUCUGCACUUUGAAAAGCAAGGGGAGCACAGCAAUAUGUGGACAGAGAGUAAGAGGUGCUCAGCACAUCUUUGCUCCUGAGCUGGGAAGCCAUGCUAGUAACACCACUCCACCUGUACCAAAGAAUGUAUAACUGCUCAACUAUGCUGGGAUUAGCUCUCAAGAUCGUCUCUGAGGAUAUCUCCAGAAUCCAGAAAAUCUACAGACUGGAUACAGCUGUGAAGAAGAGAGCGUGUUUACGUAUGUAUUAACACAACAAUCAAAAACUGAUCUGAAUAUAAUCAUAAAGAAAGGUU